rnacentral:rRNA from 1 species
GAUGAACGCUGGCGGCGUGCCUAAUACAUGCAAGUCGAGCGAACGGACGAGAAGCUUGCUUCUCUGAUGUUAGCGGCGGACGGGUGAGUAACACGUGGAUAACCUACCUAUAAGACUGGGAUAACUUCGGGAAACCGGAGCUAAUACCGGAUAAUAUUUUGAACCGCAUGGUUCAAAAGUGAAAGACGGUCUUGCUGUCACUUAUAGAUGGAUCCGCGCUGCAUUAGCUAGUUGGUAAGGUAACGGCUUACCAAGGCAACGAUGCAUAGCCGACCUGGGAGGGUGAUCGGCCGCACUGGAACUGAGACACGGUCCAGACUCCUACGGGAGGCAGCAGUAGGGAAUCUUCCGCAAUGGGCGAAAGCCUGACGGAGCAACGCCGCGUGAGUGAUGAAGGUCUUCGGAUCGUAAAACUCUGUUAUUAGGGAAGAACAUAUGUGUAAGUAACUGUGCACAUCUUGACGGUACCUAAUCAGAAAGCCACGGCUAACUACGUG